AGAGAAGACACGUGAUUCCCGACUCUCUUUGUUUCCUGUAUUUACAGAUAAAUAAUAUGAGUAUUUGGGGAAACUUGUUUAAAUUUUGUUACAUCAGUUUAAUUGCGUGGUUUAAUUGCAGCCAUUUAUGAGUUCAUGUAAAAAUCCUAUACUUUUAUUCUCUUUGUGUUGUGAAGUCUGUACAUUGAUGAAAAUGUUAUAUAUAUAUAUAUAUGUCCGUUAAGUUGCCUAUUGAAGUUUAACAUGUUAUUCUUGAGUAAUUCUGAGGUAAAUGUUUAUCUAUUUAUGUAAAAAGCUAAUUUGUUAAGUUGAAUGUUCUGUUGAAGGCUCACUCUGGGCUCGUGCUUGGCGCGCUUACUGAUCACGUGAUCAGCUCAUGCAGAGAGGCGGGUAAUGGCAGCCCACAUAGCAGUUAAUGCUUAAUAUUGUCCUUUAUUGGGAAUUGAAUGUGAAACAAAUGCCACAAAUGUUUUAAACUGUGGAACAGUUAAAAGUUGUACAUAUGUGCAUAAUCUUAGUAAAUUAAUACUAGACUUAACUGUGUUGGUGCAUGAAAGAAUGUGAAUGAGGGAUUUUUGAAUGCUUUUGAAGAAAACCAAGUGUUUGUGGAUGUUACAUGUUGAAUAUUUGUUAAUAAAAUAUACAUACAGAGGAGCUGACAGAGAAGACACACGAUUCCGGACUCUCUUUGUUUCCUGUAUUUACAGUAAUCUGGCUGCUGGGUUUCCGGAGCUGAGACCUGCAAUAAUCUAACAAAUAUAUAUGAAGAGAGAUACCAGUUACAUUUGUGUUACAAGUUCCAGAUCAGGAGAAAGCACAAAUUGACCACUGUCAGUGGAUAUCACAAUGUUACCUUGAAAAUGUGUACAUGUGGCACCUUGCCAGGAAGCAGGUGGCAGGGCUGAGACAAGUUUGUCAGAACAACCCUUGAGAAGCUGUGUUAUUGGCCUUAAGCUUUUGGCCCCUGGCAGAAAUGAGGCAGAUACUCCAUGCGAAGUGUCAGUUCUAUUGAACAUACCAAGUCUUGCAUUGUGUGUUUCUGAGUGGAUUACUGUGUAUGACCUUUGCUUGCCUUUGAUUCCUCUACAAGUUUCGUUUUGUGUAUUUCAGAUUUGUUUGCUCAGUGUUUUUGUUUUCCGGUUUUGACUGUCACCACGUUUCCUGACUGUGUUUUGCCUGCCUAUUGUUAUUAAAGUGCUUAUGGAUCCAAA